AGUGAACGCUGGCGGUAGGCCUAACACAUGCAAGUCGAACGGCAGCACAGUAAGAGCUUGCUCUUACGGGUGGCGAGUGGCGGACGGGUGAGGAAUACAUCGGAAUCUACUUUUUCGUGGGGGAUAACGUAGGGAAACUUACGCUAAUACCGCAUACGACCUACGGGUGAAAGCAGGGGAUCUUCGGACCUUGCGCGAUUGAAUGAGCCGAUGUCGGAUUAGCUAGUUGGCGGGGUAAAGGCCCACCAAGGCGACGAUCCGUAGCUGGUCUGAGAGGAUGGUCGGCCACACUGGAACUGAGACACGGUCCAGACUCCUACGGGAGGCAGCAGUGGGGAAUAGUGGACAAUGGGCGCAAGCCUGAUCCAGCCAUACCGCGUGGGUGAAGAAGGCCUUCGGGUUGUAAAGCCCUUUUGUUGGGAAAGAAAAGCAGCAGGUUAAUACCCCGCUGUUCUGACGGUACCCAAAGAAUAAGCACCGGCUAACUUCGUG
rnacentral:rRNA from 1 species